rnacentral:misc_RNA from 1 species
AAUUAGCCCCGAUUGUAGCAUUUGUUUGAGCUCAUUUUUUGGGUUUCGGCGCGGCGGCUUCGCCGCCGCGCCGAAACCCAAAAAAUAGCGAGUGCGGAAAGCGGGAAACAGC